UAAGCGCUGGAAACGGCGUCUAAUACUGGAUAUGAGACGUGAUCGCAUGGUCGUGUUUGGAAAGAUUUUUCGGUCUGGGAUGGGCUCGCGGCCUAUCAGCUUGUUGGUGAGGUAAUGGCUCACCAAGGCGUCGACGGGUAGCCGGCCUGAGAGGGUGACCGGCCACACUGGGACUGAGACACGGCCCAGACUCCUACGGGAGGCAGCAGUGGGGAAUAUUGCACAAUGGGCGGAAGCCUGAUGCAGCAACGCCGCGUGAGGGAUGACGGCCUUCGGGUUGUAAACCUCUUUUAGCAGGGAAGAAGCGAAAGUGACGGUACCUGCAGAAAAAGCGCCGGCUAACUACGUGCCAGCAGCCGCGGUAAUACGUAGGGCGCAAGCGUUAUCCGGAAUUAUUGGGCGUAAAGAGCUCGUAGGCGGUUUGUCGCGUCUGCUGUGAAAUCCCGAGGCUCAACCUCGGGCCUGCAGUGGGUACGGGCAGACUAGAGUGCGGUAGGGGAGAUUGGAAUUCCUGGUGUAGCGGUGGAAUGCGCAGAUAUCAGGAGGAACACCGAUGGCGAAGGCAGAUCUCUGGGCCGUAACUGACGCUGAGGAGCGAAAGGGUGGGGAGCAAACAGGCUUAGAUACCCUGGUAGUCCACCCCGUAAACGUUGGGAACUAGUUGUGGGGACCAUUCCACGGUUUCCGUGACGCAGCUAACGCAUUAAGUUCCCCGCCUGGGGAGUACGGCCGCAAGGCUAAAACUCAAAGGAAUUGACGGGGACCCGCACAAGCGGCGGAGCAUGCGGAUUAAUUCGAUGCAACGCGAAGAACCUUACCAAGGCUUGACAUAUACGAGAACGGGCCAGAAAUGGUCAACUC
rnacentral:rRNA from 1 species